rnacentral:sRNA from 1 species
AUUUUUAUUGGUAAUUUAUGUUCAUAUUUGUGUAUGUUAUUAUAUAGUUAAUAAAAUUAU